rnacentral:rRNA from 1 species
AUUGAACGCUGGCGGCAGGCCUAACACAUGCAAGUCGAACGGUAGCACAGAGAGCUUGCUCUCGGGUGACGAGUGGCGGACGGGUGAGUAAUGUCUGGGAAACUGCCCGAUGGAGGGGGAUAACUACUGGAAACGGUAGCUAAUACCGCAUAACGUCUUCGGACCAAAGUGGGGGACCUUCGGGCCUCACACCAUCGGAUGUGCCCAGAUGGGAUUAGCUAGUAGGUGGGGUAAUGGCUCACCUAGGCGACGAUCCCUAGCUGGUCUGAGAGGAUGACCAGCCACACUGGAACUGAGACACGGUCCAGACUCCUACGGGAGGCAGCAGUGGGGAAUAUUGCACAAUGGGCGCAAGCCUGAUGCAGCCAUGCCGCGUGUAUGAAGAAGGCCUUCGGGUUGUAAAGUACUUUCAGCGGGGAGGAAGGCGUUAAGGUUAAUAACCUUGGCGAUUGACGUUACCCGCAGAAGAAGCACCGGCUAACUCCGUGCCAGCAGCCGCCGUAA